GGAGAAUUGCUUUAGCCCGGGAGGCGGUGGCUGCAGUGAGCCGAGAUCGCGCCAUUGUACUCCAGCCUGGGCAACAAGAGCGAAACUUUGUCUCAAAAGGAAAAAAGAAAUCUGACUGUAAGUGUUGCAUUGCAGUGGACAAUUCCUGGCUUCUCAGCACCCAUUCCGCUUUCCUUUGUGCUUCCUUCUCAGGGACUGCCUUGAUAAGUUACGAACCUCAGGUUUCUCUUCUGUGUAAUGAGGAUAACGAUUGUGCCGGGUGCCACACCCCAGAUCUGCUAACUCCAGCUCUGGGACCCUUGAACUAGCUUCUCAAUCUGCCUCUUGAACAUGGGGAUUGCGAUCCUCGGGUAAGAUUCAGUCUGCAGCCCACCCAACCAUGGUCUAGGCAUGGAGCAUUUAUCUGGCUUCCCAUUUGCCCUGGACCUAAUUCAUCCUUUAGAUCUCCCAAAGGACAAAGCUCUCCAUCCUGAACAGACUCUAGUUGACUGUGAUCUUGCCCUUUCAUCCUAGUUCCAAUUAAGCAUUUCCACCCAACUGACAUAGUACGAAACCCUGGCUCUGCUAUCCUUUGUUGGAAUUCACUCGCUUGGAAGGGUCUCAAAGGAUUAGGGUGAAUGGAAACAGGGAGACAAAAGUGUAUGCCAGGAAAGAGUCAGGCUUGGCAGAGAAAUCCGGGUCUAUCAUGAACACAAAGUAAGCCUGAACUGGUUGUCAGGAGCCAUUGGAUGGCCAAAGGGAUCAGAGAUCGGGGGACAGUGGAUUUGGAGAUCCCCAGGAUAACAGGUUCCUGGGAAAGCGAUGAGGAUGUAUGCCAGAAGCAGAGGGAGGAGAGACUGCUCCUGGCUGGCCUUCUUGUUGCUCUCUAAUGGUGAGUUUCAUGCUGUGUCAAGGCCUGGAAGCCACACAGCCCCUGCUCAGCUAUUUCAGAUACUGUCACCUCGACUGUAAUUAGCCACAGUCUUUGUACAUGGAACUUUGGAAUCUUGGCACCUGCUGCCAAUGGGACCAGUUUCUCCCUGUCCCAGUGUUAUUCUGGCCAUAGCUCAGUGCCACAUUUACUGUCCCCUCCCUUCCCACCUUGGAAAUGAACCAUUGCUGUCAAUUUCCUGUCCAGAGUGACUUUCAGAGACGCACCGAGGAGCAUUUUAUUGAAGUUGGGAAAUUGGAAAGCAUCUCAAUUUCUCUUGCACCAAGAUUUUAUUAUUUCCUUUGAAGUGAAAUUUCAAAUACACCAGAGAAGUCUACGCUCAAAUGGAGCUUCACUCUGCAUUUCUCCUUCCUGCCGCCAUGUGGAGGAUAUGUUGGCUUCCCCUUCCACCAUGAUUAUAAGUUUCCUGAGGCCUCCCAGCCCUGUGGAACCGUGAGUCAAUUAAAUCUCUUUCCUUUAUAAAUUACCCAGUCUUGGGUAUGACUUCAUAGCAGUGUGAGAAUGAACUAAUACAAUUAAUAAUCCAAUAUAACAACGUAUUUUAAUCACAUAUUACAGGCUUCAGAUACAUAGAAUUAAAUAAGUUUUUUUUUUUUUUUUUUUUUUUGAGACGGAGUCUCACUCUGUCGCCAGGCUGUAGUACAGUGGCACUAUCUUGGCUCACUGCAACCUCCGCCUCCUGGGUUCAAGUGAUUCUUCUGUCUCAGCCUCCCGAGAAGCUGCGACUACAGGCAUGCGCCACCACACCCAACUAAUUUUUGUGUUUUUAGUAGAGACGGGGUUUCAUCAUGUUGGCCAGGAUGGUCUCAAUCUCUUGACCUCAUGAUCUGCCCACCUCGGCCUCCCAAAGUGCUGGGAUUACAGGUGUGAGCCACUGUGCCUGGCCAAAAUAAAUAUUUUUUUAAAAAAUGACCUUGGACUUGGACUUGGAAGUGACAUUAUAGGUUAUCAAAUUUUACCUUCUACCUAAGAAUCCUUCUGUGGCUCUUGUGACAAAUGUGGAUCCUUUUGAGGGAAAAACUAGUGGUCAGAUAGAGCCUUCAUUUGCCCUUAUCAACCUUCUGGAUCUAGAUACAGGUCCCAUCUGUAAAAAAAAAUUAUUAGAGAUUAGGUCUUAUUCUGUCACCCAGGCUGGAGCACAAUGGCAUGAUCAUAGCUCACUAUAGCCUUGGCCUCUUAGGCUCAAGUAAUCCUUCUGCCUCAGUCUCCUGAGUAGCUGGGACCACAGGUGCAUGCCACCUCUCCAGCUAUUUUUUUUUUUAAUUAUUUUUGUAGAGACAAGGGUCUCACUAUGUUGCCCAAGCUACUCUUGAACUCUUGGUCUUAAUUGAUCCCCUGGCUCAGCCUCCCCUGGAGUUACAAAUGUGAGCCGCCACAUCCAGCCAGUAAAUGUCUUUUUCACUGGGUAAACACAAAGGCAUUCCCUUGCAUUGGUCUUCUCUAGCCCUUUACUGCCUGCUACACAGGGGAGUCAAGGUCGAUCCAAGUCUGAUCAAGAUAGAAUGUCACUCAACAGCCUCUGUCUCAAUGUUCAGUGGGACUUGGGACAAAAUCCCCUGAACUUCAACCUAGGAUGAAGUGAGUUCUUGUUACCUGAAUAGCCUGGAAGCCAUGGCUGCUUCUACCCACCUGCCCUGCCCAGCAAUAGCUGGCCAAAGCUCCUGCCUCUGCCUUGAAUCGCACUCUAUUCCCCCAGUUUCCCUACCUUGUGCCUCCAUCUUUGCCUGGGGUUCACGCCUUCCCCUGAAUUCCAACCCACUGACACGAGAUCUUGAUACCUACUUGGCGCUUAGAGUCUUUGUAUUGCCCAAUCCUGGUCCAUUCCUGGAAGUUUGCUGAAUCUUGCAGUAAACGGGGAGAACUCACCUAAUUUAGAACAACUCCACGGUUGUUCAAUGAACAUUAUGCCUUCCUCUCCUGGACGCUGCUACAGAUGUUUCUGGUGCAGGUAUUUUUGUCAGCCAUACCUGAACCUACAAUCACCUUCAAAUACCAUGUCUCAAACAUCUACCACUGAAUCAGUCUCUGCAACCUCUCCUCUGCAGUCUAGUGAUCAGUGUGAACUGGGUCCUCCUGUCUAUGGACCCUCUGUGGUCCUCUGUGCCAAGUCUGCCUUGCACAAACAUGAUGCUUUUCAGAUAUUUGGAGGCAAAAUUCCAACCCAACCUCAUCAGUAACUAUCUAGUACUUGCCCCAGAUAUCGGCAUUAAAUAUAUCUCAUGUUCCAUCAACAUACACCCAGACAGUCAUCACUUGACGAUCACAUGAAGGGCUCACUCCUAGCUCUUUCCAGGACUAAUCCCAGCCUUUGCUCUGAUGGAGUGGGAACUAUUCAUUCUCCAGCAGAGACAUUGCAAGCAAGUGCUUAUUUGAGGCCUUUGGCAAGGAUAACUGGCCCUCUUUCUAGCUCAUUUGUUGCUAUCAAAUUCCUGACUCAGCCCACUUGUCAUCGCCUCUUGACAAGUCAGCAUUUCAGAGCUGGGUUUGUUUCUCUUCCCUCGCAAGCAGUAAACACCAUCCUAUGCAAGAAAUGAAGCUACCCUUCAAUGCAAGAACCAGGUGUGAUGGUGACUAUUGAGUGUCAACUUGAUUGGAUUAAAGAUGAAAAGUAUUGUUCCUGGGUGUGUCUGUGAGGGAGUUGCCAAAGGAAGUUAACAUUUGAGUCGGUGGACUGGGAGAGGCAGAUCUCCCCUCAAUCUGGGUGGGCACCAUCUAAUCAGCUUCCAGCAUGGCUAGAAUAAAGGAGGCAGAAGAACGUGGAAAGACUUGACUUGCUGAGUCUUCUGACCCUCAUCUUCCCUUGUGCUGGAUGCUUCCUGUCCUUGAACAUUAGACUCCAAGUUCUUCAGCUUUUGGACUCUUGGACUGACACCAGUGGUUUGCCAGGGGCUCUUGGGCCUUUGGCCACAGACUGAAGUCUGCACUGUCAGCUUCCCUACUUUUGAGAUUUUGGGACUUGGACUGGCUUCCUUGUUCCUCAGCUUGCAGAUAGCCUAUUGUGGGACCUCGUCUUGUGAUCAGCUGGUGGUCUGAGAUGGGCUACCAGUCUGGACAGGAUUGCAGAACCGAAACCAGCAUUCAAGUUCCUCCUUGGUGGCAAAUCUGGAAGAUAUGCUAACAGGAGAGCCAGUGCCUUGUUUCCUGCCAGGAAGCGAUAGACACUCUUAAGACAGCGGCCCCCAACCUUUUUGGCACCAGGAGGCGGAGUCCAGGCGGGAAUGUGGGUGACGAGUAGCAGCUGUAAAUACAGAGGAAGCUUUGCUCCCUGACCUGUCACUCACCUCUUGCUGCAUGGCACACACUUCCUAACAGACCACAGACGGAUACAGGCCCGUGGCCCAAGGGUUGGGGACUCCUGGUCUAAGAGACUGAAAAUAACAAACUGAGAAAAUCAAAGAUAAGGGGUGGUGAGACUGAGUCCUGGAGAUUUUCAAGCCACUUGUCUCAUUUGUCAUUGGAACUAGCUAUGCCUGUCACAAUUUUGUGAGCCUUCCUAUUAAUUUCCAUUUUUACCUAAGCUAUGGCAAGAUGAUGUUUCUGUCACUGGCAUUCAGAGUAAUUUCAGUGAACACAUACGGUAUGUGCUCUUUCACCCAUCGGCUUGCUUUUG
rnacentral:lncRNA from 10 species